GACGAACGCUGGCGGCGUGCUUAACACAUGCAAGUCGAACGAUGAAGCUGGAGCUUGCUCCGGUGGAUUAGUGGCGAACGGGUGAGUAACACGUGAGCAAUCUGCCCUUGACUCUGGGAUAACUGCGGGAAACUGUAGCUAAUACCGGAUACGAGGCUCGAAGGCAUCUUCGGGUCUGGAAAGAAUUUCGGUCAAGGAUGAGCUCGCGGCCUAUCAGCUUGUUGGUGAGGUAAUGGCUCACCAAGGCGACGACGGGUAGCCGGCCUGAGAGGGUGACCGGCCACACUGGGACUGGGACCCGGCCCAGACUCCUACGGGAGGCAGCAGUGGGGAAUAUUGCACAAUGGGCGAAAGCCUGAUGCAGCAACGCCGCGUGAGGGAGGAAGGCCUUCGGGUUGUAAACCUCUUUUAGCAGGGAAGAAGCGAAAGUGACGGUACCUGCAGAAAAAGCACCGGCUAACUACGUGCCAGCAGCCGCCGUAA
rnacentral:rRNA from 1 species